UUUAACAUUACAAUGGAAAUCACAAAUUGUGGUGUUGUCCUAUAGUAAUUCUAGAAUUCGCCUAAGUUGAGAAUAUAUUAAGCUCAUGCUUCUCCAUUUGGGGCUAAUCAAUUUCAAAUCUUAAAAUGAUAGUAAAGUUCAGCAUAAAAUUGAUGUCAUUCAUCGAUCAUUUAUUUAAGGUCAUUCCUUAAUAACUAUAUAACACCACUUUGGGUUCAAGGCCAUUAAUACUAUUAAUAUGUUUUGUAUCAGUUUAAAACAUAUCACAGACUAGCACAACACAACCGACAUGUAUUAAGCUAAGUCACAAGUAUUAAAUAUUAGAUUACAGUCAUCCAAAUGUAAAACUAAAACAUUCAAGUAUCUUCAUUUGUUAAAAAUGAAAACUGCAGCUUGUUGAUGCUUCAACAUGGUGUAACUCUGCAGCAAGGUCUGAAGAAAAAAAAAAAACAAAUAUUAAAGCUUUUUAUAUGCCAUCACAAUAUAUGUUUGAAGAAAAAAAAAAACAACAAACUUGCUUUGUUGCACAAUUAGAAUAAACUUCAAUGAUAUGUGAACAAGUAUUGAAUGAUAGCUAUGUUGCACCUCUUCUAUCUGGCCAAUUAAUAGUGAUUUGAUGUACAUCAUGUGUCUCUAAUGUAAGACCAUUGGAUGAUAGCUUCAAUUCACAAAUUAAUCCUAACAAUAACCAUGUAGAUGAAGCUCAAUUUAAUUGAACAAAGAAAACUCAAUAACAGAAUAAACAUUAUAGUUUGCUACUUUUUACAUGCUCUUUUAAACAUACUAGUUGAAGAUAAGAAUGUUUCUAACAAAUAUAAUGGCUG
rnacentral:lncRNA from 1 species